AGUUAACCUAAGAUACCCUGGAAAGCAGGGAGAGGUUGUGACUCAGCUCCAGGGUCAGCCUGGAUACCCCCCUGAUGAGGGGUCCCCGUCCUGAUCUUCACAGGCUCCAAGAUGGGUUGUUUGUGGGAUUACUACAUGCUGGGUACUUUCUGGUGGCGGGCCCUGUGCUGAGUCCAAAGAUGGCAUCCAGAGAGGAAUAAGGAGCAGCCCUGACCUCAAGAAACUCAACACCUUGCCCAGAAGCCAGGCAAGGAUGGUGACUGGCCAGCAUGCUGCGGAGUGGUGGAGGGCCAAGUCUCCUCAUCCAUGAUGUGGUGCGUGUGGAUUCCCUGAGGCUUUGCAGAAAAUACUGGGACUGUGGCAAGUGCUCUGCAAAACCCUACCAUGAUCGUGGAACCCAGUCUGUAAACAAGGAAACAAGGCCUGUACAGGGGCACCACUGGGGGUUUGAAUUCCAGACCUGUGAGCUCCAGAACCCCAGCUCUUUCCUCUCAGCCAACUCCUGACUGACCUGGAUGCUCUCAUGGGAACCUAGGGCAGAUGCUGAUGUCUGGAGCUGAUGAGUGAAGGUGACAAGGAGGGGGGAUGGGGAGGAUCCUUCUGGUCCUUUCCAGGUGAACUGUACUGACUUCCAAUCUAAGCUUUUGCAAUUUCAAGGUAACCUCAGGUCAGAGGCCAAAUGCACGGAGUCCUUCUUUGUGCCUCUUCCCCAACAUGUCACCUUAUGUAAUGGAACAUCAACUUCCCAAGAAGGCAGAGGCAGGACAGGAAGCCCAGAACCCCACCAGGGUUUUAGGGUUGUUUGUGGGAUUACUACAUGCUGGGUACUUUCUGGCGGCAGGCCCUGUGCUGAGUCCAAAGAUGGCAUCCAAAGAGGAAUAAGGGGCAGCCCUGACCCCAAGGAGCUCAACACCUUGCCCAGAGCCAGGCAAGGAUGGUGACUGGCCAGCAUGGAACCCAAGGCCAUGCUGGGCAGAGGGAUCCAGGUCACCCAGAAAGCCUGUGGUCAGCGUGCCCUUACAACCAGCUUGCACUCGACCUCACUACUUCUCAAGAGGGCUGUAUUGACAGGUGUGUCUGAGACAAUCUCCCCUGAGAUUUCUCCCUAUGCAUCACGUGGCCCCAGUCUGAGAAGA
rnacentral:lncRNA from 1 species